AAUCAAGAGAUCUAAUUUAGCCUAAUCAAAAUUGUAACGAACAUCCAGACGUGUGGGCCUUAUGGGCAAGGCCCGCUGGAAUGUGCUUCAGCUCAGGGGAUGUAGAAGCAAUGUUAUGGUGAUAAUGCAGCAAUUCAUGCCUAGGCCCAAGCUUAAUAAGGCAAAUGGAUUACAUUCAGGAUUCAAUUCAAACAAGCUUCACCGUGUUCUAAACAACUCUCUCCACCGGGUAACUCUGGUUGUCGCCUCUGUUGCGCCGGAAAUCGCCUCUGGCGGCGGAGGAGGUUCAAACACUCCAAAUUACACCUUAUCUUCUUCAUGUCUCUCUGCUCUGCCUAAACCCUAACUUAAUUUCUUUUAAUUCUACGCUGAACAUCCAAAUCGAAGCUUACCAUGGAUGAACCCUAAAUUUCAAACCUUGCAAUUGAAUGCCAUGGAAUAAUGAUCUGGAGUCCAAACCACAGGGUUUGGUUCCUUAUACAAAGGUUUACAUCAUAGUAUAGAGGAACGACCAGGGAGAAUGAUGUUCACCAACCUUCAAAGAAGAGACAUGCUUUGGUGUUUGUUGAAACCGGCGAAGAAGACACACCUCAAGAAAAUACCAGAGAAGGAAGAAUAUUCAGACAGAUUGAAGAAUUCGUCUUCUGCAGUUCCCACGAAGGACGAAAAAAGAGAGAGAACGAGAAAUUAUGACUUCAGAAAACCAGCACCUCUCGAUCUGUGAGUGAAGAUGUAUUUAUAGAAUUUUUCGUUCUUCCCAUUUCUGUUAGAGAUGCAGAUCAAAUUCAUCUGAAAUUCAAUAGGUCAGUUAGAAAUUAACUUUCUGUUAAUUCCCAUUUCAGUUAGCUUUCAAAACCUUCUUUCUGUGUGAUAUUUCUUCUUCUCUUUGCAUGUGAUUGAGAGGGGUGCAGUGAAGAGUGAGUUUCUAAGCUUUGUGAUCUCUGAAGUGUCAAACGUAUGAAGAAUUUGUGUAUUCUCUAAGAUUCUGUUUGGAGAUUUUUAUGAACUCCCUAAUCUGAAGCAUGGAAUGUAGCUGGUGUUGAUUCCUUCAUUUGUCAAAUAUUGAUCCUGAUAUCUGUCAUAGCAGGAAUGCGAUCAUAGUGUUAACUUUUUCUUUUUGUGCUUAGUUUUGGAUGAAAUCACAUGGUGAGCUUAUCUUGUCCGUGUGGAUGUGUGGUUGAAUACUAGUGUUUAGGAACUUGGAUUAGGAAUUAGAACUUAGGUCACAUGGUAGUUUAUACUUGUGCUUGGAUUUAUUCAUUUGUAAUGUAUUUACAUGGAUUAUGUACGUGAACCUUUAAUGAAUAAAAGUUGAAUUUUGAAUGAAAA